UACGGAGGGUGCGAGCGUUAAUCGGAUUUAUUGGGCGUAAAGAGUAUGUAGGCGGUUUAACAAGUCAGAUGUGAAAGCCCUCGGCUCAACCGAGGAAGGUCAUUUGAAACUGUUAGACUUGAGUGAAGUAGAGGUAAGUGGAAUUUCAUGUGUAGCGGUAAAAUGCGUAGAUAUAUGAAGGAACACCAGUGGCGAAGGCGACUUACUGGACUUACACUGACGCUGAGAUACGAAAGCGUGGGGAGCAAAUAGG
rnacentral:rRNA from 1 species